rnacentral:rRNA from 1 species
AGCGAACGCUGGCGGCAGGCCUAACGCAUGCAAGUCGAACGAACUCUUCGGAGUUAGUGGCGGACGGGUGAGUAACACGUGGGAACGUGCCUUUUGGUUCGGAAUAACUCAGGGAAACUUGUGCUAAUACCGAAUGUGCCCUUCGGGGGAAAGAUUUAUCGCCAUUAGAGCGGCCCGCGUCUGAUUAGCUAGUUGGUGAGGUAACGGCUCACCAAGGCGACGAUCAGUAGCUGGUCUGAGAGGAUGACCAGCCACACUGGGACUGAGACACGGCCCAGACUCCUACGGGAGGCAGCAGUGGGGAAUCUUGCGCAAUGGGCGAAAGCCUGACGCAGCCAUGCCGCGUGAAUGAUGAAGGUCUUAGGAUUGUAAAAUUCUUCCACCGGGGACGAUAAUGACGGUACCCGGAGAAGAAGCCCCGGCUAACUUCGUG